UAGAUGUGCACAGGUGACUAUAGCUGUCUGCUGUGCACGUCUGAACUGCAGACAGGGAAGUAGUGGGGCAAGCAGCAGAUUGGCUGUCACCCGUUUCUCAAGAUGCCAGCCGUUAUCAAAGCAGACCCUCUGAGUUUGCUCAUAGGAACAAGCUGAGUUGCAUAGCUGCUGGCACACAAGAAACAAAGGACCCUUGACAUAGCUUCCUCAUGGUGGCAUGAGUAAAGCUCUCUACUUUGUUCCACACAAAGGCAUGGAUGUUGCCAAUUAUAAAUGACAAACUAUUGGAGGAAGAGAAAUCCACUUCUUAAAAGAGCGACGAAUUGGUCUCCAGCCUGAAUUGCCUCCAGCUUAAUUAGCUCUGCCAACCUGUCAGUCCAGCCAUGCAAGAGAGGGAGAGAGAGAAAAAAGGAGGGAGUGAAGCAGAGAUUCUUUCAGAUCUCAGCAGAUAUUAAGCUAAAAGUCCUGUUUUCAGAGUGCAGACGGGAGAAUAUGCUUCAGCUACUCAAAUGUGAUUUGUGGUGGCAUGCUGGAUUGGAGAACUGGAACAGCAAAGAGAGUUUCAGUCCUUAAUUUCCUGUGGAAGGAUUCAGCUGAGGAAGCAUUGCAUUUUUGGUUUCUCUUUGCUGUCAACAUGGUAGAGGAUGGCAGUGUUUGCCUUUGAGAAGUAAAACAGGAAAAACACGGCUGACUGAACAGGUUCAUUACAAAUAUCUUGAAAUGAAAUGAACCUUCCACGAGGAGCUCACCCAGUCAGUGGUACUGUGGAGUGAAAAUGUUCCACAUGAAGAUCGGGCACAGAGACAUAGACCUUGGGCACUGAAGGAGACAGUCAGCCUCUAUGCAAAUCACUGCAAGACAAAGAUCCAAUGAAAUAAACCCUAAACUCAUAUUUAUAGUUAAAGGCAAGUUUUAUACAUAGGUUUGUUCUUUUUUUUUACAUAAGCAUUUCCAUCUUUGGAAACAGCUUGAAAUUUUGUUAAUCAGUGGAAGAAAUGAAAAGGAUCUUAAGAAUUAGGCAUUAAAUUUAUUAUACAAAGUUUUGAAUGGGGUGGAGAGGAGAAGCUUUGUAUAUUAAGUCAUAAAUGAUUAAUAGAGCUUACACCAUUAAAUAUGUGAUAUGGACUGCUGUUAAAGAGUAGGCACUGGCAUAAAUAAAACACAGCUCUGAUUCAAGAUGAAUGUUCCCAUCUUUAAAGGAACGAGUAACUGAGCUAAAUAUGUUUUAAAAGAUGGGGAGAAGAGACAAGAAUUAAACAAAGAUUUUGCCUUUCUCUGAAUUUCUUAAAAUACCACUUGCUGUGUUCAGAGCCUUAUUCAGGUGGUCAGGAAUAAGCUUUGGGACAGCUUAAGAGAUCUAAAAGGAAGUUUUGCUAGUCACACACUGAGAUAAAAAUCAGGCUCUUGGAUGUAUGGUCCAUACACGCACAGACACACAUGAUUUUCCACUUCCACAUUAAUUAUUCUUGCAAAAUUUCAACUGCAAUUUGGGCUACUGAAGCCUGGAAGAGAAAAACAGUUGAAAACAAGAGCAGCCAACACCAUGCUGAGUGUAAGUUCUGAAAAAAAAAUACAAGCAACUAUUGAAAUUUGUAGUAACCUGCCUUUCCAGAUCACACGCAUCCAUGCUGAGACCAAGGCUCAUGAGGAUGCAGAAACAAAGGUUCAGCCAUCUGCUCUACAAGGUGUUGAAAGUCAUCUCUAAAAGAAUCUUCCUGUUCCCAAAUUUCAUGUAGAUCUCAGUGGAGUUAAGUAGGAAUAUGGAAAGUCUAUAUUCUGCCAAAUUCUGUGAACCAAAGAAAAUGAAGAUUAGAGGAAAGCCCUUGUUCCUUAGAAAGCAUUGCUCUAACUCCAGCAAACUGAGCCAAUUCUGACGGUGGAUACUGCCUGUGGUGAUACUAAGAAACCCAACCCUGCUCCAAAAUGAGACAUUGAAGAGAAUCACUUUGCUGACUUCUAGACUUUGGAUCAGGCCUCUGAUCUCUGAAACCAUUUAAUAUAUUUCACAAGCUUUUGAAAAGUGGUGACAAAUAUAGUCUGAAAAAUGUGGAAGCAUGUCUUGGUUUGGAUGAAGUACCUAAACCUUGGGAUGCCACGUAGGACUAUGGGCUUUGGCUGAGCAGCUCCAAUCUUAGUCUAAACUAAGCUACAUGAUAUCCUGUACCAGACGUGAGAUAAAACCACAUCGAGGCAUAUCAGAGGUGGUCUUCUGUUGUUUCUAUGUCCACGCAUGAGUCAUACAAAGCUGCUCAAAAAGAAAAAUAGUCAUUCUUGACCCUAGUGAUGAUUGAUAAACAGAUUUCUUGAAGCAUAGUUUUUGAUUGCCUGGUUUAUCCGACCACAUGUGUUAAUGUCUGUUACAGAAUUUUCUGGUGCUUUCCCCUGAAAAAAAAGCACUGGUACAUUGUUUGACGUGGUCCUUAACUAAUACUUUGAUUUGGAGAAAGGCUGGACAGCUGGAAUCAACAGUUUUGCUUGUUUUUUGUUUGUGACAUUUCCUAAUUAGUGUGAAUGGGAUUCAUUUAUUUACCUGUUCUAAUUUUUUUUCCUUCUCCACACCAUUUGCUCAGGGCAGUAACAUAAAAUCAUCACUAUUUGACCAUAUUUUAGAUUCAAAAUGCUAAAGGCUUUUGUGAUUUCAUUGGCAUCUGAGAUAUUUUGUGAAGUGCAAUGAGACAGCUUCUGGGAAUUAGAAGGGAAUUCGUGCUGAAGACAGCAGCUCAAAAUUGGUUUGAGUAGAAACCUGCAGGUGUUCCCCUUUGCACCUGAUAGCCAUUACAAGUCAACAACUGGUGUCAAGCUCUCUUCAGGAACUUUUUAGCAGGGUCGAACAAACUUUAACAGAAAAUCUUUGAUCCUCAUGCUUCCUACUCAGGUCUUAUUUCUCUCACCUGUUGAACACAAUUCAAGCACCAUGUUAACUUGGGAUUCUCUUCUAUUCUAAUCCAUAUACAAAAUGCAGUAGUAAGGCAUCUAAUCCAAGCUCAACUGACACCAACACAAGCCUCUGCAUUGUCAAAACUGAUGCCUUUCGAAUUGUCAGGAUUAAAAUUUGCACAAGCCAUAUAAAGAGUCCUCUGAUCUUCAAGUAAGCCUUUGGUUAAAGAUGUAUAACCUUUUCCUCUCUCAGUUGGUUUUGACAUGUGUACAGAGAGCUGUAGGAGCAGGGAACACUGGAAUACAUGGGAUCUAACUGCACCUAACUGCACCUGGUAUCUACUCUCCUUUCUUACUCUAGAGACAUAUUUGAAUAAAGAAUGCAACAGGAGAGAUAGUGACUGUGUUCAUAUGUCCCAGCCCUUCCCUGGGUAUUUGAUUUACAACGUACUCCAGAAAAUAGAAGAAAAGGAGUAUGCUUUCUGUUUCAGGGAGCAGUAAAGAAAACAGUCCAUGCAAGUGGAAGAACCCCUGCAGGAUAUUGUCUCUUUCCUGCCCCCAGACUCACACCUUGUUAAUAACCCCCUGUGUUUAGAGAAGAGGUACAGCAACACUGAACUGUAGCAAAUCACAGAGCUGAGGGUGUUGGUCCUGUUAACCGAAAGUGGCUGGCAUGAUCUGAUCUCACUCUGCCAUUGUUCGUGCCCUUCCACUUACCUAUUGUUGAAUACAUUAUUACAUCAUGUCUAUUAAGAGCUGCAACAAACUGUUCUAUUAUUCUCUGCCAGCAAGAUACAGUGGAAAAGUUCCUCGAAGUUUUUUUUUUCUGUGCUUGUGUAGGCUGAAUAGAACUCAUAAAGCUCAAUGUGUGGAGAAUAUUGCCACGCUAUUGAAAUCAACCUUCAGUGUGUGUCGAUUUUGACAUGAGUGUGUCAGGGAGAAGGAAACUGUAAUUAGUCCUAAUAUUUAUAUUCAAUUGCCUCACAGCUAACUUCGAUUAAAAUUAAAGCCCAGGGGGCUGUGCCUGCUGAAGUUACUGAGAGGUUGGCUGCUGAAUUGCACUGAAAGAAAACUGGACAUAAAAUGAAUAUUUUCAAUUCCAUAUCUGCAGAGCUGUUAGAUUCUCAUGUCUAGGACAUGCAUCAGCUUUACCACUUUCUAGAACUGAGGCUGCAGGAACCCUAACAAAGAUAAAAGCUCUGGUCCUAUCAGUUUCAGCCCUGAAAUGCACAGGGUCCGUACCUCAUGGGCUAAGAACCAGAAGGAGGGCUUUUCAAGCAGCAGGAAAUGAUGAUUCAUGGACCCUGCUGCUCCUCUGCAGGGGGGUGGGCAGCACUGGUAACACAGCAGGGUCACAUUUGCAGGUUGGCCUCCUGUUUGCUGUGCUCCUUGCUUGGGGACGUAGCAUAUGAAGGCAGUCCCAGCACUGAUGCAGGGAGCUGGCUGCUCCCUGGCUGAACUCUGCCUGUGCACUGCAUGUCACGUGUGUUUCUACCACCUACAGCUGCACCAGGUGAUGCUGGCAUGGGUCUUGGGCUGUUAAGAGCAUGCUGUGCCCAGUUGUCCUGGUAUAGGAGUGUUUGGGAGUUCAGGGCUGAAAAGGGGAAGAGAGUCCUGAGUGUGAGCAGUUUCAGGUUUCACCCCUGCUAAACUGUCUGAGACAAAGAAUGGCAGUGAAGCCUGAAAUAAAGAGUUUCAAGUUGCCAGCACUUUCCAUUUCUCUUGGUAUUCCAGUGUUUCCACUGCUUGCUCUUGGCUACGACCAAGCAGUGCAUACAGUGUGAAUAGAUUAAAAUAGACAUUUUCAGCUUUCUACAGAUCUUGGGAGUCGCUCUGAGUUGUAAUCAGGGGCCUUGCUCAUAAUAAACCUGUCCCAUGGCUCUGGUAUCCACUCUUCAUCAAGAAGUAACCAUCAGAGUCUGUCAUCUCAAACUUAAGGGGCAAAUUUCUUUCUUUUUUUUCUUUCUUUUUAAGGAGAUCUGGUUUCACUUAGAUGAAUUAAAUGCCAAUAUAUCUCUUACUGGGAAUUGUUUCAGUGUAGAUUACAGCACAGUUGCAUUACUUUAAAAUGCGUGCAAAUCUCUGCUGCUUUCUGCUAUUUAUAUCUAUCUUAUAAAAUGUUUAAUAAACACUUGUAUAGUGAUAUUCCAGAUCUUCUUCCUGUACUGAGGUUUUGAAUAAGAAGUCCAAGAAUUAUCAUUUUUUGCGAGCUUAGCACAUUUAAAGUGUGCUUUUAUUUCUAUAUUUGGAAUCUUUGCAGUUGGAAGACCUAUAUUCACAAAAUGAUGGAGAGGAAUGGUGUUCCUUGUAAGACGACGCUCUCACAACUGUGUAUUUCAGUCACACUGCUGGUUGAACUGCAGCCCUGCCAACCUCUGCUGCAUUCAGUCAUCUAAUCUGAAGUGAUUAGUACAAGGAAACUUUAAUUUUAGGGAAAUUUGAGCUGUUUUAAAGCUUUGCUCCAAUGGCUGCAUAUAAAUCAUUGUGAAUUUAAGAGUUUUGCAAUCGAAGCUCAUGGUUUGGAUGUGAUCCUCUCAUUUAAGUCAACACAAGAGCAUGUAUGAUCUGACAGUGCUCUGGUUUGGAUUCGGGGAUGAAGAUUCCUCUCCUUCAGCUCUGAUCCCCAGAGCUCUGGCUCUGGAAAUAUGUCAGGUUCAGUUUAGGGGAGUCUGCCUUCCCCUUGCAGAGAUACCCUUUACUCAUCUGUGGGGAUCUAAGAUGAGAUGGAGACAAUUAAAUAUAAAAGAAUAUAAAUAUUCUUACUCUCCGUGUUACAGAACAAGAAUAUGACUUUUCUGAUACAAGUAUUAGGGGAAGUUCUUUCUAAAAAUGAGAGGAAGGAAGGAAGGAAGGAAGGAAGGAAGGAAGGAAGGAAGGAAAAGUCUCAACUGUUCUACAAUAGAUUCAGAUUCUGUGAUUUUUUUUGUUGUUGUUGGUUGGAUAUUUUUUUUAGGGAACGAGUAUUUGAGUCAGUUCCAAGGCAGCUCAAAAGGCUUCUACUUGUCACAUUUCUGGUCUAUGAGCUCAAAGACUUCCAGGGUUACACAACAAUGACUAAAACUGGAAACCUUUCAGACCUUUCCCAAAAUGAAGUGGGAAACUGAGGUGACUGCUAAGCCAGUGCAAGAGAGGUAUCCACUUCCAUGUGUGUGGAGUUGAGCAGAGAGGACCCAGCUUUACUCAGAGGCUUCGAAUUGUCUUAUUUUUGAUUUAAUCUCAUAUUCAGAACAUAAUUAUUCUGGAACCAAGAUCUUCACAUUGUUUUGCUUAAUGCUUUACAAACAGACUGUUGACUGAAGUUGUCACUGAACAAAAAUAUGCUUCUACAUGUUUACAUAAUGGGAAAAUGCAGUCAUAAAAUGGGUGUAACAACAACUCGUUAGGUAUUAGGUUAAGGUGCAGUGCAGGAAUUAUCCCCAUAAAACGUUAAACCCUAAACUCAAAAUAUCACAACGAAGUUGCAGGUUACAUUUACUGAAAGCCUUUAAAAAUCUUUAAGCCUUAACAUGAUGCUUAAAGCUUCUGAGAGAGCUGAUGACAAUCAAGAGUUCUUCUUGUACAACUGCUCUAUUCAAGAGGAACUAGAUUAAGAUGAUAAAUAUAAUACAAAGGCUUGAUUCUAGUAGUGUUUGCUUUGCUGUAACUCUUAAAUGGAUGUAAUUAGGUGCUGAGUUUGUUCCUAGUUCUGCCACUGCACUACUUUAUGGCCUGUUAAACCAGUGUAUGUAGUUACCUUUCUCCCAUAUCUAAUCAGGGUGAAGAUUUCAGAGAUACCAGUUUGGGGGUCCAUGUGCAGACCCUACAAACACAGCUCUCUGCAGCAGUGAUGCUGCAGUACAGUACACAACACAGUAAGAUCCUAGCCUUGGCUCAGAUAAUUAAGAGUAUUUUCUGAACUCUGAGUCUGAUUCAUAAAGAAGAACUUUUGAACUCUCUCUGGCAUUUACCCUAAUGAAAUCUUUGAGAUUUCUCAAUUACUCUCUUCCUUCUAUCCUGCCUAACUUCGCUGCUCAAUUUUUUAUCUCUAAUAAGCCAGUAUGUAGGGGUUAAAUAUGCUUAUAUGUGUGGUUACCAAAAAUACCGUAGAUUUCCAUGCACUUCUUGCUCUGCAGGACAGGAUAAUAUGCGAGAGGAGGCUUAUGAUGUGUACAAACAUGCCCAGAAGCAAAAGGGGGAAAAUAAAACACAUACAGAAAGUAAAAGCAAGACAAAAAAAGGGUGAGGGUUUGUGAUUGUUAGAGGAAGGUGAGUACACUUCCUGGCAACAUCUGAGAAUCAUUUGCAGCAACUGAUCCAUGAGCCUUAGUGAGUAGGGAAUGUUUUUAAAUCCUCCCCCAUCCUCUUUGUUAAUCUUUACCAGGUAGUAGGGCCUUCAAUGCAAUUCCUACGGGCAUUUAGGGAUGUGUAAAACAUUUUGUCCGUUUUGAAAAAUAAGAUAUUUGACAUGGCUCCAAGAUUGAGAUGCAGAAGUCUGGUUAUAAGUCUGUGGUCUUCUCCUCUUUAAACUUUGGUAGUAAUAAUAGCCUUCAGACUGCUCUGCAAAAGGCAGAGUGUCUCCGUAGAGCAAGCGAUGAACAUCUGGCCUCAGUGCCUCUUGUUUGAAAUAGGAAAAUCACUUUAAAAAGUGUCCCCAUGAAUGAAGUGCAGAUUGUAAUACAAGCUUACAUAAUUCAGGAACACUGAAGGAUGUUUUUUUAAACUUAAAAUGUUCUGAGCAACAUCAGACAAUAUAAAAGAGUUAUUAAUUAUGAUGCAUGAUUAUUAUUGCACUCAGGAGACUUGAAGAGGUAGCCUGGAAAAGUUCAGAUUUGGCUCACCUUUAAGCACACCCAAAAUACUGGGCAACAUUUGUAGAUGUUUUUGAGUGACUGAGGAGGCUAUUUCCUAAGACUUUCAAGCACAUUUGGGAUUUUAGGUCAUUUGGGGCACGUCUCCACUGUGCAGUGCCAAAUGGCUCUGAGCAAGCCAAUUUUCAACACGAUGGAGAAAGAUUAACUGAGAGCAAUAUAUGUGUUACUUUUCCUCUGCACUGAUUCUAUUCUAAUCCACCUAGCUCCAGGGGUAGAUUAUUUGGUUCUGGUUGAAAAGGCUCUGCAUCAUGUUCCUUCUUCUUAUAGAUCUAUUCUCUCUGUAUCAUAUAUUAUAUAUUACAUAUUACAUAUUAUGUGUUAAAUGCUAUAUAUGUUGUAUGAUAUAUAUAUAUGUGUUAUAUAUUAUUUUAUAUAUUAUGUUAUAUAUUUAUUAUAUAUUAUAGGCAUACUCAUACAAUUGUUUUGCAAAAUCCAGUCCAGCAUCUAACUGCAUGGCUUCAUUUACACCAGUCAGAACCCCACGUGAGGCAUUCACAAGACUAUAUAUAUAACCACCACCUGUACUUAAGAGAGACCCUAAGUGGGGUGAAAGCUCUUAAUGCAUGAAAAAUCACAAAGUUCUCUCCAGUGCAUCAUGGACUACUGUAAAAUUUGGGUGGACUUUUCCAUUUAGUUGCAUGUCUGACAGUCUAUCACUGUUGCCAACACCAUCAAUAUUUAAAGAUGGUACCUGCAAAACACAUUUUUGAAAUAUGAUUAUUUGCUGAAGGCAACAGCAGCAAGUGGAAUUAACUCAGUAGUCUUUUUUCAUGAGCUGGGAACUCUGUUUUGAGUAGCAAGAUGUUUGUGAGUAAUUUAAAGGCACGCUUGUCUGAAGCAGUCAGUAAGAAAAACAGCAUAACCCUUAGUAUGUGUUGUGUAUAAUGACAUAUUGACUCCUGAUUACAGUGUGCUUCAUUUUCACACCUCACAUCAUGAGGUUCUUAAAAAAAUUGCAUGACAGUUUCUAGCUUUUGUUUGUUGUUAAUUACGACUUAUAAAAUGUUAGGUCAGGAGUCGUCAAUGGACUAAGCUAAAGUGUUUGUUUAAAGCAAUGAGUAAAGCAAGUCAUAUGAAUGUUUCCAAAGACUGUAUUCCAAGAAGUAUUUUUGGAAACAUUAAUGUUGUGCUUUUUAAUGCAGGCCACAUUCUGAGGCUACGACACCAUAUGUCACAUUCAUUUCUGUAUUGAAAAAGAAAAAAAAAAAAAGAAAAGAAAAAAGAAAUGGAAACUAUGUUUGGCUUUUAAGUGUUUUUGGAAUAGUGUCUAUGCAUGCUUGUCAUUGUUACUUGGAUGGGAGAAGCGUUCUCAGUCUGUUAAUCUAGUCCAUCCAAUAUAUAUUACACUCUAUGGGCCUGACUCUCUUCUGCCUUAAACUGUGUGCAGUCAUUUAUACGUUUGCAAAGUGAAUGAAGAGCUGAGAAAAAAAGACUACGGCUGGGAAACAUUUUUGUAAAUUCAUUUUCCAUGAACACUCUGGCUUCAUUGUAUGCCUACAUCUGAACUCUUCUCACAUGAAACCAGCUUAAAAAUGGGAGAAGUCUUUGCCAUUUUUCCACUGAAAGCUUACAAUUUUGGAAAAUGAGAGUUUUUCCUCAAAAAGUGGCAUAUGCUUCGGAUUUUUCAGCAUUAUAUGUGUUAGGGGUUGGGAUAUAGUAGAAUGAGUUGGAGAUCUAUAGGAAAAAGCAUUUGCUUUUUUCAGUGCUGUAUUCUACAAGUAAUUCAUAAGCAUCCUGUAUCUGACUACUUCAGCUAAGUCCUUGCUUUUUAAUGGAUUUCAACUGACGAGGCCUCAGUUUCUAAGACAAAUUCUUGUUAUUAGUCAAUGAAUGCACAGCCUAGCACUUCAUACUGCUGAAAUUCAUACGGUUACAAUCUGCCAAGACAUCAAUUUUUUCUCUGAUCUGACAGAGGAAUCUCCUAACUCACAUCACUUUCUAAAGUUGUGUCAUCCACACAUUUUAUUAGUGCAUGUUCGUUCCAAAUUUGUUAAUAAAAAUCUAAAUACUUCUUGGCAACUGGAUUUUUUUGUUAUUAUUGUUUUGAAGAAUUAUUUGUGAGGGUUUGCAGGACCUCAGAGAGGUUUGUUUUUCAUGUGAGCUGCAAAUAUAUUUCUUUAGCUCUAGCUCAGUAAAAUGAAAUUGCUUGACCCAUUGUUUUCUGGUUAAAACUGAACUUGUCAGUCCAUGACACUGCAUUCCAUGGCUGAAUGAGAAUGUUUACCUAGGCAUUUCUUCUAGAGUGGGAAAACAAACACAGAACAGAGAGGAACAACUGACUACCCUAAAUGCUUGGCCAAAUUUCAGAGAGCUCAUGUCAUCCUUGUGAGUGUUCAUGAAAGCCCAUCCUGAUUUGAAUGCUACUUCACCAGAACUUUGGAAGAGAUACAGUGGGGUCACCACAAAGGUUUUGGAUUCUGCUUACAUCUAGAUAACAAAUUUUAAGAUUGAUGUGGACAUUUCUAGCUGGUUGAUUUUCUAGCUGAAUUUCUGAGUUUUUGAGCUAUAUGGCGUAAUCAGUGUCAGAGUCUGUACUUUUCAGAAAAUUACUCAUGAUGGCCAGAGAUUGUAUUUAGUUUUAGUUUUAGAGUUUGGCAUACGAAAUUAAAAACAAAAAUAAACUUUUUCUUUUAU